rnacentral:rRNA from 1 species
AUUGAACGCUGGCGGCAUGCCUUACACAUGCAAGUCGAACGGUAACGGGCCUUCGGGUGCCGACGAGUGGCGCACGGGUGAGUAAUACAUCGGAACGUUCCCGAUCGUGGGGGAUAACGAGGCGAAAGCUUUGCUAAUACCGCAUACGAUCUACGUAUGAAAGCAGGGGACCGCAAGGCCUUGCGCGGACGGAGCGGCCGAUGGCAGAUUAGGUAGUUGGUGGGAUAAAAGCUUACCAAGCCGACGAUCUGUAGCUGGUCUGAGAGGAUGAUCAGCCACACUGGGACUGAGACACGGCCCAGACUCCUACGGGAGGCAGCAGUGGGGAAUUUUGGACAAUGGGCGCAAGCCUGAUCCAGCCAUGCCGCGUGCAGGAUGAAGGCCUUCGGGUUGUAAACUGCUUUUGUACGGAACGAAAAGCCUUCUUUUAAUACAGGAGGGUCAUGACGGUACCGUAAGAAUAAGCACCGGCUAACUACGUG